AACGAACGCUGGCGGCAGGCCUAACACAUGCAAGUCGAACGUGAAGCCACCUUCGGGUGGUGGAAAGUGGCAGACGGGUGAGUAACGCGUGGGAACGUGCCUUUCGGUUCGGGAUAACCCAGGGAAACUUGGGCUAAUACCGGAUACGCCCUCCGGGGGAAAGAUUCAUUGCCGAAAGAUCGGCCCGCGUCGGAUUAGCCAGUUGGUGGGGUAAAAGCCUACCAAGGCGACGAUCCGUAGCUGGUCUGAGAGGAUGACCAGCCACACUGGGACUGAGACACGGCCCAGACUCCUACGGGAGGCAGCAGUGGGGAAUAUUGGACAAUGGGCGCAAGCCUGAUCCAGCCAUGCCGCGUGGGUGAAGAAGGCCCUAGGGUUGUAAACCCCUUUCAGCGGGGAAGAUAAUGACGGUACCCGCAGAAGAAGCCCCGGCUAACUCCGUGCCAGCCGCCGCGGUAA
rnacentral:rRNA from 1 species